AAGUCGUAACAAGGUAUCCGUAGGUGAACCUGCGGAUGGAUCAUUAUUGAUUCAUUUUACACAUAUGUGCACUUAUUAUUUUCGAGGUUGUCGCUUCGCGGCGCCUCCAACAAAACUUGAAACUUACCACUUAAGAUAACCAAGAAAUUAUUGACAACUUUUAGCAAUGGAUCUCUUGGCUCUC
rnacentral:misc_RNA from 1 species